rnacentral:misc_RNA from 1 species
AAAAAAACAGCCAAAUUUUUAAAAAUUUGGCUGUUUUUUUUAUUAU